UACGUAGGUGGCGAGCGUUAUCCGGAAUUAUUGGGCGUAAAGAGCGCGCAGGUGGUUGAUUAAGUCUGAUGUGAAAGCCCACGGCUUAACCGUGGAGGGUCAUUGGAAACUGGUCGACUUAAGUGCAGAAGAGGGAAGUGGAAUUCCAUGUGUAGCGGUGAAAUGCGUAGAGAUAUGGAGGAACACCAGUGGCGAAGGCGGCUUCCUGGUCUGUAACUGACACUGAGGCGCGAAAGCGUGGGGAGCAAACAGGAUUAGAUACCCU
rnacentral:rRNA from 1 species